rnacentral:tRNA from 1 species
GCCAAUCUUAAGUUAAGCAAACUUGGAACCUUUUAAGUUCCCUACGCCCCUAAAGCAGAUGGCG